CAGUACGUCCAACCGGCCUCACAACCGCAGACCAUGUGUAACCACACCAACCCAGGACUUCCACAUCCGGCUACUUCACCUGCGGGAUUGUCUGACACCAGCCUCCCAGCUGAUGAAAUUGGUCUUGACCUGACUGCAGUUCCGCGUCGUAACCGACUUCAGUGGGUAAAUGCUCAGCUUCGAUGACAGCUGACAAGUGUUCCUCAUGGAUGAAUCCCGGUUUCAACUGUACCAGGCAGAUGGCUGACAGCAUGUGUGGGCGAGUGGUUUGCUGAUGUCAACGUUGUGAACAGUGGUUUUGGGCUGGCACGGACAGCGAACACAAUUGCAUUUUAUCGAUGGCAAUUUGAAUGACCAGCGAUACCGUCACGAGAUCCUGAGGCCCAUUGUCAUGCCAUUCAUCCGCCACCACCACCUCAUGUUUCAGCAUGUUGCAAGGAUCUGUACACAAUUCCUUGAAGCUGAAAAUGUCCCAGGUCUUCCGUGGCCUGCAUACUCACCAGACAUGCCACCCAUUGAGUUUGUUUGCGAUGCUCUGGAUUGACGUGUACGACAGUGUGUUGCAGUUCCUGCCUAUAUCCAGCAACUUCGCAUAGCCAUUGAAGAAGUGUGGGACAACAUUCCACAGGAGAUGUGUCGCGCUGCAUGAGGCAAAUGGUGAUUACACCAGAUACUGACUGUUUUUCUUAUACACAUCCCUACCUUUUUUAAAUCCACACCCCUACCAACGGAUGCAUAUCUGUAUUCCCAUAGAUUAGGGCCUAAUGACUUUAUUUCAAUUGAUGGAUUUUCUUAUAUGAACGUUAACUCAGUAAAAUAUUUUAAAUUGUU